rnacentral:rRNA from 1 species
CUGAUCCAGCCAUCCCGCGUGUAUGAUGAAGGCCUUCGGGUUGUAAAGUACUUUUGGCAGAGAAGAAAAGGUAUCCCCUAAUACGGGAUACUGCUGACGGUAUCUGCAGAAUAAGCACCGGCUAACUACUUGCCAGCAGCCGCGGUAAUACGUACGGUGCAAGCGUUAAUCGGAAUUACUGGGCGUAAAGCGUGUGUAGGCGGUUCGGAAAGAAAGAUGUGAAAUCCCAGGGCUCAACCUUGGAACUGCAUUUUUAACUGCCGAGCUCCAGUAUGUCAGAGGGGGGUAGAAUUCCACGUGUAGCACUGAAAUGCGUAGAUGUGUGGAGGAAUACCGAUGGCGAACGCAGCCCCCUGGGAUAAUACUGACGCUCAGACACGAAUGCGUGGGGAGCAAACAGGAUUAGAUACCCUGGUAGUCCACGCCCUAAACGAUGUCAACUAGCUCUUGGGGCCGUUAGGCCUUAGUAGCGCAGCUACGCGUGAAGUUGACCGCCUGGGGAGUACGGUCGCAAGAUUAAAACUCAAGGAAUUGACGCGGACCCGCACAAGCGGUGGAUGAUGUGUAUUAAUUCGAUGCAACGCGUAAUACCUUACCUACCGCGUGACAUGUCUGGAAUGACGAAGACGAAGGGGCCGUGCUCGCAAGAGAACAGGGAACACAGGUCAUCCAUUGCUGUCGUCCAUAUAAUGGUUCUCCGUCCGUCCUCGUUAGCUCGUGUCG